GAGCUGUGGAUAGGGGUGAAAGGCUAAAACAAAUCUGGAGAUAGCUGGUUCUCCCCGAAAACUAUUUAGGUAGUGCGUCGUACGGACACUUGCGGGGGUAGAGCACUGUAAUCGUUGAGGGGGUCAUUGCGAUCUACCUCGCGAUAGCAAACUCCGAAUACCGCAAAGUGAUAUACGGCAGACAGACCUGGGGUGCUAACGUUCUAGGUCAAGAGGGAAACAACCCAGACCGCCAGUUAAGGUCCCAAAUGCAUGGCUAAGUGGAAAACGAAGUGGGGAAGGCAUAGACAGCUAGGAGGUUGGCUUAGAAGCAGCCACCCUUUAAAGAAAGCGUAAUAGCUCACUAGUCGAGUCGUCCUGCGCGGAAGAUGUAACGGGGCUCAAGCCAUGAACCGAAACUGCGGAUGCGCAUUUAUGCGUGUGGUAGGGGAGCGGUUCUGUAAGCCUGUGAAGGUGUUCCGGGAGGAAUGCUGGAGGUAUCAGAAGUGCGAAUGCUGACAUGAGUAG
rnacentral:rRNA from 1 species